AAGUACAAGUCGUAACAAGGUAUCCGUAGGUGAACCUGCGGAUGGAUCAUUACCAAAGGAUUUUUCCUGACGUACUGUGAACUGUAUUGAAUGCAUAGUUAGUGAGGGAGGUUUUGUAGAGUUUAAUCUCUAUACCACUAACUAUAACAAAACGUAUUUACUCCAUAAACUGACGUCUGCUUUAGCUUAAUAAACUAAAGACAACUUUUAGCAAUGGAUCUCUUGGCUCUC
rnacentral:misc_RNA from 1 species